rnacentral:rRNA from 1 species
CCUACGGGAGGCAGCAGUGAGGAAUAUUGGUCAAUGGUCGGGAGACUGAACCAGCCAAGCCGCGUGAGGGAGGAAGGUACAGAGUAUCGUAAACCUCUUUUGUCAGGGAACAAAGACUGGGACGCGUCCCCGGAUGAGUGUACCUGAAGAAAAAGCAUCGGCUAACUCCGUGCCAGCAGCCGCGGUAAUACGGAGGAUGCGAGCGUUAUCCGGAUUUAUUGGGUUUAAAGGGUGCGCAGGCGGUCUGUUAAGUCAGCGGGCAAAGCCCGGGGCUCAACCCCGGCCCGCCGUUGAAACUGGCAGUCUCGAGUUGGAGAGAAGUAUGCGGAAUGCGCGGUGUAGCGGUGAAAUGCAUAGAUAUCGCGCAGAACUCCGAUUGCGAAGGCAGCAUGCCGGCUCCACACUGACGCUGAGGCACGAAAGCGUGGGUAUCGAACAGGAUUAGAUACCCGUGUAGUC